AAUAACAGCCCGAGGACACUUAGCGAGGCAGAGAAGCUCCAAGCCCAUCCACCUCACCCCUCUUUGAUAAGAACAGCUGGCCACCUUGCUGGGGAUGACAUUUGUGCAUGUUCUUCAGGAUGAAGGGGACAGGAAAUCACCCAUGGCCCACGGAGGGCAGCGUCCCUCAGAAAGGGAAAAGACAAGGCCACCCCAGAAUUGAUGAAGGCUUUUUCCAGCCUCCUUGGAUCAGUAAGAACCCAGGAGAAGACAAUUAACAAGCACAAAGUCAGGGGACUCUUUCGCGGCGCCACCUCCUUGUCUUUGGCUGUGAUGAGGAGAGGACACGACAUGGAGUCCCUGAACCCAGCCCAGCUCAGUCUGCAGCUCCCCAGGGCACCCCCACCCCGCAUCCCGGAGGAGCAGGGAGAGUGCCUGGCCCCAUGCCAAAAGACAUCACCUUUGCUACAUGUUCCAGGGAGUCAACACCCAGAACAGGGUAGCAUCAAGGCCCGGAUUUGCAAACAAGAGCAACCCUUACAAGGAGAUGCACAGCAGAAAGAGAACUCUGCCUGGGAGACAGGCGACCUAGGCUCAAGGGCAGGCUCCGGUGGAGGAUGUGGGCUCGGGCAAGCUCUCGGCCCUGCUAAGCGCCAAGUGUGCUUCUGUGAAAUUAGGUUGCCAACACCCACCCCGUUCGAGUCGAGUCAGGGAGACGCGGUGAGAAAACCAGACAACAGGGAGAGGCAGCGGGGCAGGCUCCCUGGGCCUGAAUCCUGGCUCCUCAUCAAGAAACCGGGGUUAAUAAUGGUACUUGUAUCUGCUCUACAGGUUGUUGAGAGGAUUAAAGGAGUCAGUACAAGUGAACUAUGUGAAAAAAGCCCGGCUCACAAGAGGCACUCAGUAAAUGUGAAUUUCCUGUCUCCCAGUUACAUUUCUGGAGGACUUUCUCCAUCAUCUGCUCAGGGUCUGCACUAGCCCUGGGGCUGCUCAUUUAAUCCUCGUCUGUUCCUAUGUUACACCUCACGGUCCACUUCCCCUCGCCCGCUGUUCCUCUAGACCAGGAGUCUGCACACGAGACGUCCCGGGUCAAAUCUCAUCUGCCACCUGCUUUUGUAAAUAAAGUUUUAUUGGAACACAGUUCCACUCAUUCAUUUCUGUGUUACUCGUGGCUGCUUCGGCAUUAUGGCGGCAGAGCUGAGGCGUGGCGACAGAGACCACAUGAUCCACAGAGUGUAAAAUAUUUACUAUCUGGCCUCUUACAGAAAAAGUCCUCUGGCUUCUGCUCUUAGACCAACAUUGUCCCAUAAAAUAUAAUAUGGGUGAUAUUUGUAAUUUUCUAGUAGCCCUGUU